rnacentral:rRNA from 1 species
GACGAACGCUGGCGGCGUGCUUAACACAUGCAAGUCGAACGGAAAGGCCCUGCUUUUGUGGGGUGCUCGAGUGGCGAACGGGUGAGUAACACGUGAGUAACCUGCCCUUGACUUUGGGAUAACUUCAGGAAACUGGGGCUAAUACCGGAUAGGAGCUCCUGCUGCAUGGUGGGGGUUGGAAAGUUUCGGCGGUUGGGGAUGGACUCGCGGCUUAUCAGCUUGUUGGUGGGGUAGUGGCUUACCAAGGCUUUGACGGGUAGCCGGCCUGAGAGGGUGACCGGCCACAUUGGGACUGAGAUACGGCCCAGACUCCUACGGGAGGCAGCAGUGGGGGAUAUGGCACAAUGGGCGGAAGCCUGAUGCAGCAACGCCGCGUGCGGGAUGACGGCCUUCGGGUUGUAAACCGCUUUCGCCUGUGACGAAGCGUGAGUGACGGUAAUGGGUAAAGAAGCACCGGCUAACUACGU